UCCCAUUUUGUGGUUUGCAACCGGUGACAAUUGAAUUUUCACAAAAUAUUGAUUAUUCUGAGCGACCUAUUACGUCAUGUAAAAACGGUGUAUUUUCGGUACUGCACCAAGUAUGUUCUGGAAAUGCGUCUAUUUAUGUUAGUUUAGACGAUUCACUGACGGUUUUAUGUUGAUGUUGGAUUUGUACGUAACAUUUUUGAGUGGUGCAGUCCACCAUGCACUCUUGAUGUUGAAUACCAUUAUCCCUGGAAUUUUGCACAGCAGUUGCAUUAUCCGCACCAUUAACAACAAGUUGGACCAAUUUAUUUCCGUACCCAUGUGUUUGGUGUAUGCAGAAGGAUCAGGCAAACAGACUUUUUUAUUGAUGAAAGUCAGUUCACUGGGAAAGGAGUGGAAGUUGUGGUGUCAAGGGCUCAUCAUUAUUUGCAGUUCUAUGUAUGGUGUAUAAGAAAAAAACAUGCACAGGACUACAUGAGACCGUUGCAAUGUGUAUUCUGGUGACAGGGCACAGGACAUUCAACCCAGAUUAGCAUUUUGGUGCAUGGAAAGUGAAGUGAAGAGAUUCUGAUGCAUAAACUAUGACCCAAAUGGCUGACACUGUGAGACAGUCAUCAGAAGGGGGUCGCAAUGUUCCACAAGUAGUUGAUAAUCCCGAAACACCUGUUGUUUUAUUACAGCUUGAAACAAUUUUUUGAACAAUAUUUUAAUCCAGUUAAACAGUUGUCAUGGUGAGCUUUUGUGACCGGUCAAUGUACGUCGUAUGUCCGUCAACAUUUUCUAAAAAAAAUUCUUCUUGAAAACCACUGGGCAAAAUUACACCAGACUUCGUAAGAAUGAUCUUUGGGUGAUCCCCUUUCAAAAUUGUUCAAAGAAUUUCGUUCCAUGGCAACCAAAAGGAAA
rnacentral:lncRNA from 1 species